rnacentral:lncRNA from 1 species
CCAGAAGAAGAGGAAGAAACAGCCCCUCGGGCCCCAGCUCUGUCGUCUAGAAGGAGACUGCGGCAGAGUUCCUGUGUUAGGCCAAGAAUCAGGCAAGAAUUUUGCUCCCUGGAUUGUAUGAAAUUAGAAAGUGUCAUGUCAGACGACUGCCUAACCCAAAGGAAAAAAUGUCAGGGUUCAGGACUCUUCUGGGAGGCCAAUAGGGAGUCUCAAAGGACCAGGAAGAAGUUGGCCAUCAAGGUCUGAGGAGGGGUGGCAGGCAGGUCACCCCCAGCAUUCUGUGUGCCCACCUGCCUCCUGAACUCAGGACCAUCUUCCAGACCUCCUCUGUCCCAGAGCUCCAGGAGACCGAAACUUGCUGCAUGGAUGCAGCAAAAGAUGAUGCCUUCCUCCUAACUAGGAAGGGUGGGUGGCCAGCUCUCCGCCAUGUGGAGUGAGUUACUGCUGGAUAAUAAACUGGUGAGUGCUUCAUAAAGAGACGCUGAAUAAAUAGGCUGU